rnacentral:rRNA from 1 species
UACGUAGGGGGCUAGCGUUGUCCGGAAUCAUUGGGCGUAAAGCGCGUGUAGGCGGUCCGGUAAGUCCGCUGUGAAAGUCGGGGGCUCAACCCUCGAAUGCCGGUGGAUACUGUCGGGCUAGAGUGCGGAAGGGGCGAGUGGAAUUCCUGGUGUAGCGGUGAAAUGCGCAGAUAUCAGGAGGAACACCGGUGGCGAAGGCGGGUCUCUGGGCCGAUACUGACGCUGAGGAGCGAAAGCGUGGGGAGCAAACAGG